rnacentral:rRNA from 1 species
AAUAUUGGACAAAGGGGGAAACCCUGAUACAGCGACGGCCCGGGAGCGAAGAAGGCCUUCAGGUCGUAAAGCUCUGUACUAAGGGAAGAAACGGACGGGACCUGAGGAUGAAGCCGCGGCUAAUUACGUGCCCGCAGCCGCGGUAAUACGUAGGGGGCGAGCGUUAUCCGGAAUUACUGGGCGUAAAGGGUGCGUAGGCGGCCUUUUAAGUAAGAUAUGAAAGGCUACGGCUUAACCGUAGUUAGCAUUUGAAACUAAAAGGCGUGAGUGCAGGAGUAGAGAGUGGAAUUCCUAGUGUAGCGGUGAAAUGCGUAGAUAUUAGGAGGAACACCAGUGGCGAAGGCGACUCUCUGGACUGCAACUGACGCUGAGGCACGAAAGCGUGGGGAGCGAAC